AAUAAGUGCAGUUUUACACUGUUCAUGUUUAACAUUUGACCAUCCAUCUUAUUUGAAAAAUUUUUAUGAUUAGUACUUUUGUUGUUAUUAGACAAUAAAACAUGAAUAAUACUUUAUGUGUGACUAUUAAUUUUUUUAAAAAAUUUUUAUAAAUUUUUUAAAUAAGACGAACGGUCAAACGUUAGAUAUGGAUAUCCAUAGUUGCGCUUAUU
rfam:Oryza punctata chromosome 5, whole genome shotgun sequence.